GAUGAACGGCUGGCGGCGCGCCUAACACAUGCAAGGUCGAACGGGAACACCCGUAGCAAUAUGGGUGUUUUAGUGGCGGACGGGUGAGUAACGCGUGAGGAACCUGCCUUUCGGAGGGGAAUAACACAUCGAAAGAUGUGCUAAUACCGCAUAAUGUCAUCGGGCGGCAUCGCCUGAUGACCAAAAGAGCAAUCUGCCGAAAGAUGGCCUCGCGUCCGAUUAGAUAGUUGGUGAGGUAACGGCCCACCAAGUCUGCGAUCGGUAGCCGGACUGAGAGGUUGAACGGCCACAUUGGGACUGAGACACGGCCCAGACUCCUACGGGAGGCAGCAGUGGGGGAUAUUAGUCAAUGGAGGAAACUCUGAACUAGCGACGCCGCGUGAGGGAAGAAGGUCUUCGGAUUGUAAACCUCUGUCUUCGGGGACGAUAAUGACGGUACCCGAGGAGGAAGCUCCGGCUAACUACGUG
rnacentral:rRNA from 1 species